rnacentral:rRNA from 1 species
AUUGAACGCUGGCGGCAGGCUUAACACAUGCAAGUCGAGCGAGCGGCGGACGGGUGAGUAAUGUCUGGGAAACUGCCUGAUGGAGGGGGAUAACUACUGGAAACGGUAGCUAAUACCGCAUACCAUCAGAUGUGCCCAGAUGGGAUUAGCUAGUAGGUGGGGGAAUGGCUCACCUAGGCGACGAUCCCUAGCUGGUCUGAGAGGAUGACCAGCCACGCUGGGCCUGGGACAGGGUCCAGACUCCUAGGGGAGGCAGCGGUGGAGAAUAUUGCACAAUGGGCGCGAGCCUGAUGCGACCAUGGGGCGUGUUUGAGUAAGGCCUUCGGGUUGUAAAGCACUUUCAGCGAGGAGGCGUUACUCGGAGAGGAAGCACCGGCUAACUCCGUGCCAGCAGCCGCGGUAAUAC